rnacentral:rRNA from 1 species
GGACGAACGCUGGCGGCGUGCUUAACACAUGCAAGUCGAACGGAAAGGCCCUGCUUUUGUGGGGUGCUCGAGUGGCGAACGGGUGAGUAACACGUGAGUAACCUGCCCUUGACUUUGGGAUAACGUCAGGAAACUGGGGCUAAUACCGGAUAGGAGCUCCUGCUGCAUGGUGGGGGUUGGAAAGUUUCGGCGGUUGGGGAUGGACUCGCGGCUUAUCAGCUUGUUGGUGGGGUAGUGGCUUACCAAGGCUUUGACGGGUAGCCGGCCUGAGAGGGUGACCGGCCACAUUGGGACUGAGAUACGGCCCAGACUCCUACGGGAGGCAGCAGUGGGGAAUAUUGCACAAUGGGCGGAAGCCUGAUGCAGCAACGCCGCGUGCGGGAUGACGGCCUUCGGGUUGUAAACCGCUUUCGCCUGUGACGAAGCGUGAGUGACGGUAAUGGGUAAAGAAGCACCGGCUAACUACGUG